GGGCCCGCACAAGCGGUGGAGCAUGUGGUUUAAUUCGAAGCAACGCGAAGAACCUUACCAGGUCUUGACAUCCUUUGAUCACUCUAGAGAUAGGAAGUUCCUUCGGGACACGGGAUACAGGUGGUGCAUGGUUGUCGUCAGCUCGUGUCGUGAGAUGUUGGGUUAAGUCCCGCAACGAGCGCAACCCUUAUUGUUAGUUGCCAUCAUUCAGUUGGGCACUCUAGCAAGACUGCCGGUGACAAACCGGAGGAAGGUGGGG
rnacentral:rRNA from 1 species